rnacentral:rRNA from 1 species
UACGGAGGGUGCAAGCGUUAUUCGGAAUCACUGGGCUUAAAGGGUGCGUAGGCGGGCGUUCAAGUCAGUGGUGAAAUCCCCCGGCCCAACCGGGGAACUGCCGCCGAUACUGAUCGUCUCGAGGGAGGUAGGGGUGUGUGGAACUUCCGGUGGAGCGGUGAAAUGCGUAGAGAUCGGAAGGAACGCCGGCGGCGAAAGCGACACACUGGAUCUCUUCUGACGCUGAGGCACGAAAGCCAGGGGAGCAAACGGG